rnacentral:rRNA from 1 species
GAUGAACGCUGGCGGCGUGCCUAAUACAUGCCAGUCGAGCGAACGGACGAGAAGCUUGCUUCUCUGAUGUUAGCGGCGGACGGGUGAGUAACACGUGGAUAACCUACCUAUAAGACUGGGAUAACUUCGGGAAACCGGAGCUAAUACCGGAUGAUAUUUUGAACCGCAUGGUUCAAAAGUGAAAGACGGUCUUGCUGUCACUUAUAGAUGGAUCCGCGCUGCAUUAGCUAGUUGGUAAGGUAACGGCUUACCAAGGCAACGAUGCAUAGCCGACCUGAGAGGGUGAUCGGCCACACUGGAACUGAGACACGGUCCAGACUCCUACGGGAGGCAGCAGUAGGGAAUCUUCCGCAAUGGGCGAAAGCCUGACGGAGCAACGCCGCGGGAGUGAUGAAGGUCUUCGGAUCGUAAAACUCUGUUAUUAGGGAAGAACAUAUGUGUAAGUAACUGUGCACAUCUUGACGGUACCUAAUCAGAAAGCCACGGCUAACUACGU